rnacentral:rRNA from 1 species
GUAGGUGGCAAGCGUUGUCCGGAAUUUAUUGGGGCGUAAAGCGCGCGCAGGCGGUUCUUUUAAGUCUGAUGUGAAAGCCCACGGGCUCAACCGUGGAGGGGUCAUUGGAAACUGGAGAACUUGAGUACAGAAGAGGAAAGCGGAAUUCCACGUGUAGCGGUGAAAUGCGUAGAGAUGUGGAGGAACACCAGUGGCGAAGGCGGCUUUCUGGUCUGUAACUGACGCUGAGGCGCGAAAGCGUGGGGAGCAAACAGGAUUAGAUACCCUGGUAGUCCACGCCGUAAACGAUGAGUGCUAAGUGUUAGGGGGUUUCCGCCCCUUAGUGCUGCAGCUAACGCAUUAAGCACUCCGCCUGGGGAGUACGGCCGCAAAGGCUG